GGUAGAGAGGACAAAUGGCAAGUCGUUGGGCUCAUGCCCUGAAGAAGUGGGUUCGAUUCCCGCCUCUACAG
rnacentral:tRNA from 2 species